GAUGAACGCUGGCGGCGUGCUUAACACAUGCAAGUCGAACGGUGAAAGAGAGCUUGCUCUCUGGAUCAGUGGCGAACGGGUGAGUAACACGUGAGCAAUCUGCCCCCGACUCGGGGAUAAGCGCUGGAAACGGCGUCUAAUACCGGAUACGAGCUGCGAAGGCAUCUUCAGCAGCUGGAAAGAACUUCGGUCAGGGAUGAGCUCGCGGCCUAUCAGCGAGUUGGUGAGGUAACGGCUCACCAAGGCGUCGACGGGUAGCCGGCCUGGGAGGGUGACCGGCCACACUGGGACUGAGACACGGCCCAGACUCCUACGGGAGGCAGCAGUGGGGAAUAUUGCACAAUGGGCGCAAGCCUGAUGCAGCAACGCCGCGUGAGGGACGACGGCCUUCGGGUUGUAAACCUCUUUUAGCAGGGAAGAAGCGAAAGUGACGGUACCUGCAGAAAAAGCACCGGCUAACUGCGUGCCAGCAGCCGCGGUAAUAC
rnacentral:rRNA from 1 species